GCCUGAUCCAGCCAUGCCGCGUGUGUGAAGAAGGUCUUCGGAUUGUAAAGCACUUUAAGUUGGGAGGAAGGGCAUUAACCUAAUACGUUAGUGUUUUGACGUUACCGACAGAAUAAGCACCGGCUAACUUCGUGCCAGCAGCCGCGGUAAUACGAAGGGUGCAAGCGUUAAUUGGAAUUACUGGGCGUAAAGCGCGCGUAGGUGGUUCAGCAAGUUGGAUGUGAAAGCCCCGGGCUCAACCUGGGAACUGCAUCCAAAAAUACUGAGCUAGAGUAUGGUAGAGGGUGGUGGAAUUUCCUGUGUAGCGGUGAAAUGCGUAGAUAUAGGAAGGAACACCAGUGGCGAAGGCGACCACCUGGACUGAUACUGACACUGAGGUGCGAAAGCGUGGGGAGCAAACAGGAUUAG
rnacentral:rRNA from 1 species